AUUGAACGCUGGCGGCAUGCCUUACACAUGCAAGUCGAACGGUAACGGGCCUUCGGGUGCCGACGAGUGGCGAACGGGUGAGUAAUGUAUCGGAACGUACCUUUCAGUGGGGGAUAACGUAGCGAAAGUUACGCUAAUACCGCAUAUUCUGUGAGCAGGAAAGCAGGGGAUCGCAAGACCUUGUGCUGAUUGAGCGGCCGAUAUCAGAUUAGCUAGUUGGUGAGGUAAAGGCUCACCAAGGCGACGAUCUGUAGCGGGUCUGAGAGGAUGAUCCGCCACACUGGAACUGAGACACGGUCCAGACUCCUACGGGAGGCAGCAGUGGGGAAUUUUGGACAAUGGGGGCAACCCUGAUCCAGCCAUGCCGCGUGAGUGAAGAAGGCCUUCGGGUUGUAAAGCUCUUUCGGCCGGGAAGAAAUCGUAUGGGUUAAUACCCUGUGCGGAUGACGGCACCGGCAUAAGAAGCACCGGCUAACUACGUGCCAGCAGCCGCCGUAAUAC
rnacentral:rRNA from 1 species